GGAUGAGCUCUGGUAUUUUUUAGCAUCAAUAUCAUCGUGGAAGGAGGUGGCAUCUUUUUUUACAAUAUGCAUUAAGCCAGCUCUGUUAUCAACAAUAGUCCUUGUCCUCUCCAAAUUGGAUUAAUUCUUCCUGAAUAAUGUCUUUUAGCUUAUCUAUUUUGAGAUAUUUUUGCAAAAGUGUAUAAUUUGGUAAUUUUAUCAAAAGUUGGUCUUUAUGUUCUUUUAGAACUUCACUCAUGUUUAAUUAUGUACAAAAUUUGCUGCUAUUUUAACUUCGUAUCCAUAAUUUAUAUUCUCCUUUUUGAAUUUUGUCUAUUAUUUUUCUAAAUUUGUUGUAGGCUAUCUUUUAAUACUCUGUGAGUCUACAAGCAUGUUCUUGUAUGGUAAUUAAACUGGUAUAACACAAGUGCCUUCACAUGAGAAAUUUUAGAGUUGUUUGCACAGAAGUCCUAUUUAUGUGAUUUUCAGCAAGAAUUUAUUGAACAUGACAUCUAGAUCCUUCCUAGAAUUAUUUUUGUGCAUGUUUUUUUGUAGGAAGUAGAUCCUUUACUAGAAAACUACUUCAUCGCAUGAAUAUUCAAUUUAAACCUGCAUUUGUCUUAAAAACAUGAUCCUUUAUUAUCUCUUUUCAUGUUGGCCAGGUGGACAUUCGUGUUGGUUACCAUUUAUUUUUCGUUAUGUCCUUAAACUCUAAACAUUUGUCCACUAGGCAUUAUGAUUUAUGCUCCUUAUUAUAUUCCUUAUGUGCAUAAUAUUUUAGUCUAAAACAUGUGAUUUUUCCUUAACAUAGGCAUUCCAAGUGCUCUUAAAUCAAUUUAAAAGUUCUUUGUUGAGUACUGACAUAUGAAACUAUACAUACAACCAGUGAUUUAAAAAGCGCGAGGUGCCAAGGUCCAAAAACGCCCG
rnacentral:lncRNA from 1 species